UAACAAGAUUGCAUGAACCGUUGCCAUAAAGUCACCUAUGGCAAAACUAAAUUGGCAAAAAAAGCUAUUACAUUAGUUGUAAUUUAUUUCCAUUUCCCUCCCAAUUUUUUCACUACAUCCGCCAAAAUUAAAAUAAUAUAUAUCAAAAGUUAAAUAACUAUAUAAAGAAAAUUUUCCAUUUCUGAUGAAGAUUUCCCACUCUCAACCACGAUAGCCAGUACGCUCCGAUGACCAACACCACCAGUAGGCUCCGUCCAUACACCACACACCACUAGUAGCUCCGACCAUACACCACCAGUAGCACUGACCGCAUACCACCCACACACUCCGACUGCACACCACUAGUACACUCUUUUCCAACUUCUCUCUCAAUCACUAGUAAUGAAAGUAAUUUGUACUCUUCUAAUUUUAGUUGCAUGAGCAUCCUCUAAGAAGUUGUAAAGAGGCACCACUACUUCGACCACUGCUUAAAUUUCUGAGCAAAUUUGGGGCUUUCGUCUAAUUUUUUGAUUUUAAGAAUUUUCACAGUCUGAUUCAAAGAAAGCUAGUGAAUUAUUAAACACAAUCGUGGCCUCAUUGUCAAUUUGGGAUCUUCUUAUAAAUGGAAUACACACAGAGGAGAACAAGAAUAACGAUUGCGAACAAUGAGAAUCCUACAGAGGCUCCAAGGUAUCUGUAGAACUUUCCAUAUAAACUGCAAACCUUUCCCCACCCCACAUGAGUGUUGCCUUUUAGUCCUAUGUAAAUUACUGAUGUUGUUGCUCCAGUUGCUGAUGCCACUAUGCCUUACAAAGGCUAUAAGUUUACAUAAAUAUUACACUAGUGAACAAUGGUGGAUCCAAGACUAAAUCAAUAAAUGCGCUAUAGUGGCAGUGAACAAUAUUCUUUAGUACUCCUUGCCUGUCUAAAUUGUGACAAAGUCCAUACCAGAAUUUCAUAACCUACUUCCUAAAACCCUUGCCUGGUAAUAGUGAUAAAACAGAAGGCGCAACAGACCUCAAGUGUAAUACACACUACCCUUGUAGAUAUCUAAUCAUAUAUUUAAUAUAUUAUUGAUAAAUAAGGCGAUUAAAAAAGUCAUAGAGGUCAUAGUAUUAUGCUUGUGUGUUUAAGGGGUAGAUUGCACUCUAUUAGAUUGCACUCUAUUUUUGUUUAUAUUAGUAUCGAUUAAAGGUAAUGAAUUAUAGUUUCUCUUAGCUAGGGUAUUGCAUUGAUCAUCACGGUUCUCCAGGUUUUGCAAAUUCCAAAUCUUAAGGUAAAAACAAAUGAAGAAAAUUACAAAGGAGAAGAAAAUGUCAAAAGCUUCAUGUUAAAAGUGAUGUUCUUAGAUAGCAGCGCUAUCGUUCGAGCAUGCUUCAUCACAGAUGUCCAGGACUGUUUCUAUCACAGUAGAAAUUGGUGAGAGCUGCUCUGUGAAAAAAAAGCUUGAUGCAACGACCGCUACAGAAACAGUAUAUCAGAAUAAGACAAAUAUCCUCUUUUGUGUGCCAAAAAUUUAUGUAGCUCAGGCAAUCAAAAGCUCCCUGCUCCUUUUGGGGUUGUCGGUGAACAAGCUAAAAUUGGUUGUGGAACAAUUGUGUAACUUCGACAUUAGAAACCAAAAGUUGGGAAAGGUGAUAACUACAACUCCUUAGCUACUACUGCAGAAGCUUCAGGAAUUUCAUCAGACUUAAAGAAUCAUGAAUCAACAAGGAUGUUCGAGAAAUCAUCAGAAAGCUAAAAUUUUCUUUCAGCUAGAUCACUGGCAGCUCAACUAAACAAACAAAUAAUAGAACACAUGAAGAAGAAGAAUACAAGCUACAUAAAAAGGUAAUCAGCUUGCUAUCGGUCAGUUUGAAAAUCAACAUGUAUCAUCCUCAGCUCUUCUUGGUAGCAAUAAGGAUAAGUCCAUUGUUGUUCUGUUUGAAAGUGAACUUAAGUUUUAGUCAGUAGUGUUGCAUAUUUUUAAUUAUUAGGUUUAAAUUACUAGGUUGUUGCAUAUUUUGAAUUAUGAGAUUAUUAAUGAAUGAUUUUUUUUGUAAUGUGUA